rnacentral:tRNA from 1 species
GGAUGUAUAGUUUAGUGGUAAAGCAUUUGCCUAGCAUGUACAAGGCCCUGGGUUCGAUUCCCAGCACCA